rnacentral:tRNA from 1 species
GGGGUUGUAGCUCAGUGACAGAGCGCCUGCCUAGCAUGCCUGAGGCCCUGGGUUCUACCCCCAGCACUGCCA